rnacentral:rRNA from 1 species
GACGAACGCUGGCGGCGCGCUUAACACAUGCAAGUCGAGCGAGAACCUUCCUUCGGGAAGGGGAAAGCGGCGAACGGGUGAGUAACACGUGGGUAAUCAACCCUUGGUACCGGGAUAGCCCGAGGAAACUCGGAUUAAUACCGGAUGGCCCAACAGCUUUUCGGGGCGGUUGGGAAAGGUAGCUUCGGCCUCCGACCGAGGACGACGCCC